rnacentral:rRNA from 1 species
UGGGGAAUUUUGGACAAUGGGCGAAAGCCUGAUCCAGCAAUGCCGCGUGUGUGAAGAAGGCCUUCGGGUUGUAAAGCACUUUUGUCCGGAAAGAAAUGGCUCUGGUUAAUACCUGGGGUCGAUGACGGUACCGGAAGAAUAAGGACCGGCUAACUACGUGCCAGCAGCCGCGGUAAUACGUAGGGUCCAAGCGUUAAUCGAAAUUACUGGGCGUAAAGCGUGCGCAGGCGGUUGUGCAAGACCGAUGUGAAAUCCCCGAGCUUAACUUGGGAAUUGCAUUGGUGACUGCACGGCUAGAGUGUGUCAGAGGGGGGUAGAAUUCCACGUGUAGCAGUGAAAUGCGUAGAGAUGUGGAGGAAUACCGAUGGCGAAGGCAGCCCCCUGGGAUAACACUGACGCUCAUGCACGAAAGCGUGGGGAGCAAACAGGAUUAGAUACCCUGGUAGUCCACGCCCUAAACGAUGUCAACUAGUUGUUGGGGAUUCAUUUCCUUAGUAACGUAGCUAACGCGUGAAGUUGACCGCCUGGGGAGUACGGUCGCAAGAUUAAAAGC